CAGAGACUCACGAUGAUUCAAAAGAAAAGUGCCGCUGCUGUAAAUGUGCUUCUGUUCCAGUGGAAGCUCCACACAGAGCAGUUCUUUCUUCUGCAGCACCUGUGAACUGCAGCUGUGAGGACUGGAGGUCCUACAGGUCCAGAGUUCUAGGCUACAAGCUUGUCUCCGUGGACAUGGCAGACAGCCACACUGCUGAGCCUCUCCUGGGACUUCGUGGAGCAGAGCCUCGUCUUCAGACGCCACAGAGCCUGAGGCUUCUCUCUGCUUCACAAGAGAACACUGGGAUCACCAGCAAGAGCCGGACCAGGGUCUGACCAGGGUCUCCACUGGGACCUCCAGCAAGAACCAGGGUCUCCUGAUCAAAUAAAUACACACUGCACUUCCGUUGUAACUAGUAAUCUGUAACCUGGGAGAUAACCUCACUAACUGUGAUUUUAUUCUUUCUUUGUACAGACGUCGCCUCUUCAGUCACCUGUUCUGCAGCUCUGUGUUUAUUUCUGUUGAUCUCUGCUCCUGGACAAAUAAAAUAAUGGAAAACCCUCCUGAGACUGAUGGUUCUCUGUGUCUGACACACCCUGGAUGUUCAGUAGUGUUUGUUCUUGUGUCGAUGGUUCAGUUAAUAUUUUGAUAUAUUUCUUUAAUGGUUCUGGAGCAUCUUUACCAGGACGAAAACAUGUCAGUGUGUGUAG